GCAGGGCCUUCUUGGAGGUCAGCGAAUCGCAGACCAUGUAGAUGGGACUGGUGGCAUUCAGAUCCUGGAAAUCUUGCAAAGCCUUAGCGAUGCUCCGGAAGUGGUUAUGGCGGAUUUUCACUGCGUGGACAAAGCGGGAAGAUUCCAUUGGGGGCCAACUGGUGGAGCACGCAGCGGAAGAACUGAAGGGCCACCGCCUGGGCACUGCAGGCCAAUGGUGGACCAUUCUCGCCCUGCCAGGCAUGGGUGCUGCUCAAACAGAUGCUGAAAUGGAGGGAAUCUUAGCCUGGAGUCUAGUCAUUUUCAGUAAACCCACUUACCGCGAUGUCAUGGUGAGAAUCUCGGGCAGAAACGGUGCUGCCAUGGCGGGUUCACGGUGUAUAAAGGUGCCUAGGAUCACAAUGAAGAUGCCAAUUUCCUCGUCCGUGUAUUCCUCAAUGUGGGCACCGCAGUCGGAACAGCGCUCCACAAUGGUGUAAUCGCCCACUCGACGGGAACUCUGCAGUUUCAGAGAUUUCAAAUAUUAAAAUAUUGACUAGGGUAUCAAAAUGCCUAAUGGGUACACCAACUUUUAGAACUUACCCCACGAGGGGCAUGAGUGGUGGACUGAGUGCCAUGUCCAUUGGAGGCCUCAGCCCCAACCUCAUCGUCAUCGUCAGGCUCGG